rnacentral:rRNA from 1 species
UUUAUGGAGAGUUUGAUCCUGGCUCAGAGUGAACGCUGGCGGCGUGCCUAAUACAUGCAAGUCGAACGAUGAAGCUUCUAGCUUGCUAGAAGUGGAUUAGUGGCGCACGGGUGAGUAAGGUAUAGUUAAUCUGCCCUACACAAGAGGACAACAGUUGGAAACGACUGCUAAUACUCUAUACUCCUGCUUAACACAAGUUGAGUAGGGAAA